rnacentral:rRNA from 1 species
UGAGCAAUCUGCCCUUCACAUCGGAAUAACCAUUGGAAACGAUGGCUAAUACCGAAUAUGACUUCGGAUCGCAUGAUCUGAAGUGGAAAGCUCCGACGGUCAAGGAUGGGCUCGCGGCCUAUCAGCUUGUUGGUGAGGUAAUGGCUCGCCAAGGCGACGACGGGUAGCCGGCCUGAGAGGGUGACCGGCCACACUGGGACUGAGACACGGCCCAGAUCCGUACGGGG